rnacentral:rRNA from 1 species
UGACGAAGGGGGCUAGCGUUUGUUCGGAGUUUACUGGGCGUAAAGCGCACGUAGGCGGAUCUUUAAGUCAGAGGUGAAAUCCCAAGGCUCAACCUUGGAACUGCCUUUGAUACUGGGGAUCGUUGAGUCCGGGAGAGGUGAGUGGAACUGCGAGUGUAGAGGUGAAAUUCGUAGAUAUCGCAAGAACACCAGUGGCGGAAGGCGGC